UACGGGGGGGCAAGCGUUGUUCGGAAUUACUGGGCGUAAAGGGCUCGUAGGCGGCCAACUAAGUCAGACGUGAAAUCCCUCGGCUUAACCGGGGAACUGCGUCUGAUACUGGAUGGCUUGAGUUCGGGAGAGGGAUGCGGAAUUCCAGGUGUAGCGGUGAAAUGCGUAGAUAUCUGGAGGAACACCGGUGGCGAAGGCGGCAUCCUGGACCGACACUGACGCUGAGGAGCGAAAGCCAGGGGAGCAAAGCGGGG
rnacentral:rRNA from 1 species